rnacentral:misc_RNA from 1 species
AAAGUCGUAAUAAGGUUUCCGUAGGUGAACCUGCGGAAGGAUUAUUACACUUAGUAGUUUACUACUGUAAAGGGGGCUGUUAGUCUGUAUAGCGCAAGCUGAUGAGCAGCUGGCCUCUUUUAUUACCCUUGUCUUUUGCGUACCUACGUUUCCUCGGCAGGCUUGCCUGCUGAUUGGACAAAACUAUAACCUUUUUAAAUUUCAAUCAGCGUCUGAAAAACUUAAUAAUUACAACUUUUAACAAUGGAUCUCUUGGUUCUG